UACGUAGGUGACCAGCGUUGUCCGGAUUUACUGGGCGUAAAGAGCGCGCAGGCGGUCGUUCAAGUCGAGUGUGAAAGCCCCCGGCUCAACUGGGGAGGGUCACUCGAUACUGAUCGACUUGAAGGCAGGAGAGGGAAGCGGAAUUCCCGGUGUAGUGGUGAAAUGCGUAGAUAUCGGGAGGAACAUCAGUGGCGAAGGCGGCUACCUGGACAGAAACUGACGCUGAGGCGCGAAAGCUAGGGGAGCAAACAGG
rnacentral:rRNA from 1 species